rnacentral:rRNA from 1 species
GGGACAACCCGCCGAAAGGCGGGCUAAACCCGCGUACAUGCCACCGGGGCAUCCCGGAGGCAGGAAAGGCUUCGGCCGGACAGGGAUGGGCAUGCGGCGCAUUAGGCAGUAGGCGGGGUAACGGCCCACCUAACCGACGAUGCGUAGGGGUUCUGAGAGGAAGGCCCCCCACACUGGUACUGAGACACGGACCAGACUCCUACGGGAGGCAGCAGUGAGGAAUAUUGGUCAAUGGUCGGGAGACUGAACCAGCCAAGCCGCGUGAGGGAUGAAGGUACAGAGUAUCGUAAACCUCUUUUGUCAGGGAACAAAGGCGGGGACGUGUCCCCGGAUGAGUGUACCUGAAGAAAAAGCAUCGGCUAACUCCGUGCCAGCAGCCGCGGUAAUACGGAGGAUGCGAGCGUUAUCCGGAUUUAUUGGGUUUAAAGGGUGCGCAGGCGGUCUGUUAAGUCAGCGGUCAAAGCCCGGGGCUCAACCCCGGCCCGCCGUUGAAACUGGCAGUCUCGAGUUGGAGAGAAGUAUGCGGAAUGCGCGGUGUAGCGGUGAAAUGCAUAGAUAUCGCGCAGAACUCCGAUUGCGAAGGCAGCAUGCCGGCUCCACACUGACGCUGAGGCACGAAAGCGUGGGUAUCGAACAGGAUUAGAUACCCUGGUAGUCCACGCAGUAAAC